ensembl:lncRNA
GAUUGCUGAAAUCUUUAGACAGGACAGCAGUAUUAAUUUUUACUUUUUGUUUUUGCUAGGGAAACCCAGCCAUGGGCUCAUCAAUGUAGCAAAAAUUCUGCCAUCUUCCUUAGGUGAAAUCGGUCAUUCCCAAGACAGCUGAGAUGCCUGAGACAGACUAGAUGUCCCAAAAGCAUUAAAUUGUGAGACUCAAGUGGUACAUCCUCCCUCAGUUCCCUGCAGCUCUGAUCAUCACAGCUGAAGCACCAUGGCAGAUAAAAGAGAAGCUGAUAUCUCGAAAGACUGCCUCAGUGCACAGGAACAGUGUUUGCAGGAAAACAAGUUGGAACAAUUAGCAAUGCUGAAUUGGGAGAGAGCGUGGAUAAGAAGGAUGUGACAGAUUCAUACUCCCCGCUCCUCAUGUCUGUCAUGGAGAAGUCUUGGGGAAUGGAAGAAUCAGUGACAUGGUAAUGGGUGGACUGUUCACCUGCUCCUUGACAACAAUUCCUGCAUUUUCACCUAUGAAGCUACUAACAAGAAGAAAACGGAUAAAGUUCCAGGAAAUUUGUCUCAUGAGGAUUAGACAUGCUGCCAUCUGCAAUACAGACAUUUCUAUCAGCGGAUAUGGCCAGGAAAACCUGCUGUUUGUGAGUAAUUUAUUUUAAAAAUAAGUACUGUGUCUUAAAAGUGAAACAG